GUCGAGAAGACGUGGGCGACUGAAGGGAGGACACGGUGCUGGUUAUGACUUAAUUGCGAACAUUUGCAACGAGAAACAAAUGCAGUUGAGAAGACGUGGGAGGGACGUGCUGAAGGGAGAACACGGUGCUGGUUAUGACUUAAUUGUUCCAGCUGCACGGACUUCGUUAAUGCUGGCUACCGACAAUUAUUGGCGCCAAGUUAGGAAAUGGAUCUGACAUCAAGCAAUUUUAACCUGUACGUGCAAUUUUUGACAUGGGGUAUACAUCGACUAC